rnacentral:rRNA from 1 species
GAUGAACGCUGGCGGCGGGCCUAAUACAUGCAAGUCGAGCGAACAGACGAGGAUCUUGCUCCGCUUACGUUAGGGGCGGACGGGUGAUUAACAGGUGGAUAACCGACCGAUAAGACUGACAUAACGUAAGGAAAGCGGAUAUAGUAUACGAUCAGAGAUUGAAACGGGUGGAUCAAUAGUGAAAACCGUAUUUGCUGUCCCUUAUAGAGAGUACCGAGCCGUAUUAGCUAGUUGGUAAGGUAACGGCGUACCAAGGCGACGAUGAGUAGCCGACCUGAGAGGAUGAUCGGCCACACUGGAACUGAGACACGGUCCAGACUCCUACGGGAGGCAGCAGUGGGGAAUAUUCCGCAAUGGGCGAAAGCCUGACGGAGCAACGCCGCGUGAGUGAUGAAGGUCUUCGGAUCGUAAAGCUCUGUUAUUAGGGAAGAACAAAUGUGUAAGUAACUAUGCACGUCUUGACGGUACCUACUCAGAAAGCCACGGCUAACUACGUG